AUGAGGCAAGUCAAAACCCAAAGCCCGAUCUAGGCUCGUUCAACGAAAUGAACCCCUCCCGUAUGAAACCCGAGUCGUUGAAACAUUUCGAAUUAUCGUAUUUUGUUCAUUUUUUGCAACAUUUCUGCCAGAAUUCGAGAUAAUUCGUUAGAUUCGAGGUUGUAUGCUGUACAAGAGAACCAGUUUUCUGAAUUGAAGGUGAAACUACGUCUUACGGGGGAUAAUAACUUAUAUUUCCCGAUUCAAGCAUGGAUAGUGUAUCACAAACUGCAUGGCAAGAUGGGACGAUGAUAAAACUGAACUAUAUUUAUGUGGACAUCUAGCGCAUCAAGACCAAGAUGUGUAUCACUGUGAUUUGUAUCACUGUAUAAAAAGAAGAACGUGAUGACAAUCAAUGACUGUGGGUUCAACACAAAUGAACAUGAUAUUCAUCAUGAAAAACUGAAGGUGUCAGCUAAGGCUAUUCGAUGACCUCGUUGAUUUGAUGCAAUAAUUAUUCAUAUUUGUCUAAGGUUAUGUUUAUCUUCAACAAAGAUAAAAUGCAUGUUCGAUGAGGUGUUACCAUGGCAACCAUGAUACCUACGUGGAUUUCUUCAUCACAUCAGGUCGUCUUUCUGCAUCUAUAUACAAGCAUAUACGAGGAUAAAUGACGAACAAGGAAGAGAUUCACUAUCGUAUAUACCGGGAUGUAUUGAUCCUUGAGGGAAUAGACACGAAGUCGCCAAUCAAAGAGGUACCGUGGCCGAGUGGUCUGAGGCACACAACUACACCAUGGAAGUCCCGGGUUCGAUUCCGGCAAGACAUCUUAUGCCCGGACAAUAAAUGCACGGAGAGGGUGCAGUAUUUCUAGAUUGAUCUGGACUUCUGUAGAGUUGGGCAGGAUUGGACAGGAUUGCAAUAAUACAUAGAUACUCUGUAAUCCAUCACCACCAGUCCCAUCUUCCAGAAAUCAUCUGCUCCUAUAGAGGGGCCAGGGGGGUAAGAGGUAUUACCCCUCGCUCUUCAAACUCCAAGGUUCCGUUCCACUAUCCGAUAUUUCCUGUCAAAGCAGGUGUUUUUCACUGCGUUCCACUCUUUAAAAAGAUCGCUAACAAAAAUCAAAGACAGAGAGAAUUAAUAAUGAAUGAUUGAGGAGAAACUAAUAUCUUAUUGACUUUCUUGUUCUCUUAGUUUUCUUUAUUACUUUCAUCUUCAUAAUCAUCUUGGCUUCAUGUGACUCUUUGGGUGUGUAUAGUAAACUACGCAUUUUCACAAUUCCUUUGGACAAUAUUGGAAAGAUAUUCGUCUUUGCAUUAAAUUGGUGUUCUUUUCAAUGCAUUUAGCUGUUACACUUCUAUCAUCUUCGCAUUUUUCCUUGGUUCUUUUCUCAUUUCCGUUUUCAUAACCAUUAAUCGGCAAUAAAACCAUCCUAUUUAUCUUGAUAAUGAGUUUGGUUUGUUUUCGGUUUUUUACUGAGAAUAAAUACGUCAAUUGGAUAAUGUCAAAGGGAUAUUUUUCUUAUAGGAAUAUGAAGAAAAAAUCUUCUUAAUUUCUUUGUAUUUCCCCUUCCUACAUUUUCAUCGAUGCGUAUACGUGAUAUCCUUCUGAUAUAUGAAUAAGUUAUACAAUGAAUUUGCAUAGGCCUACAUUUGAAUCUGUUACGUCUUGCAUCUUUCCACUAUUCCAAGCGAAAAUCAAAUAUUAAGAGAAAGUAAAUUUUCAGCCUAUCACAUAAUUUGUAAUUUUAUCCCCCUUCUCCUUCGUUACUUCAUUUUCAGUCUGUAGUUGAUGAUAGUUUUUCGAUUAUUUUAAUUCCCCCUACAUGAUUUUUGUUAAUUAAUUCUAAUACGUAAACAUUUGUAUAUUACAUUGUAAAAACCCUGUUUAAAAUUUUUGAGCACGUUGCUGAGGCUCCUCACUCCUAACAAUAAUUUUUUAACUGUUUAAAUAAACCACUGUUUAAAACGUUUAAACAUGUUGUUUAAAAAUAUUACAAAAAGGUUUAAGCAUCUUGUCGUUAGAUUUACAGGCUGACACAAUUUGCUAUUUUUCUGUGUAAAGAAGCAUGAAUACUAAUAUUUAUUGUAUAUUGCGCAAUUUCUUUCCUACAAUGUGAAAUGGUGAACAUUGUCAAGAUGUUAUCAUUAACAUUAUUAUCAACAUUGAUAUGUUUUAGUUCCUGUUUAGAGAUAUUUAUUUAUGCAAUAUGGAAGAGUUUUACAAAGGUGAACAGCUUUUAAGGAUAGAUGGUCAGGAUAAAAACAGAUUUACAAUACCCAUAAAUGAAUGAUUAUUCCAGCGAUAAUGCAAUUAUCCUGUAGAGAGAAAAACAUUUCCAACAUAGUUGUCUUAAAGUUGCUUGAUUUACAUUAAGGGGAAUACAAAGGCAUUCCCUUGCGAGAAGGUAAAAGCGUUUAAAAGGACUCUCUUCCUCCCUCUCUCUAUUCUAGCCUGGUACCAUUUAACAUCAUUAUCUUAAUAAAAUGAAAUCCCACGGUUCAUGUAAUAUUCAUAACCCAGGCAAUACAGAUUUCCUUCAUAGCGUGUCCUCGAUUCACCCAGGCAUUUUGAUGAGCGCAUUCAACGCACGUCUAAAUCCUCAGCCUGUCAGCGUACGUCAAACUUUCUAAACCCUUAAAGAGAAAAGAUGAGGGGAUAGUAAACCGUCUUGGGGAAUAACGGGGGAAGAUUGAUACGCGUCUUUGUAAUGUAUAAUACACACCACUCUACAACAUAACGGUAAAAUACACGAGUGCCGACGAUGGGAUGGUUAGUAACAUACGCCAGGUCGAUGUAUAGCAGCUUUCCUGAAGGGGGUGAAUAGAGGGGGGAGAGGAGUGGGGAGAAAAUAGAUUUUUAUCAUUACAUACAAUUUCAACACUCGCCAUUUACAGCCCAUUGUGGUAUUGAAAACGCCGGUGCUGUCGCCGGGUGUAUUGUCUUUUUGCGAGAUUGAUAGCACGCUGUUGUGUGCACGAGCAUUUGCAAAUGGGCAAAAGUGUACCCCCCUCC